UGUUCUUCUAAUCUUGUUUUACUUUGCACGAUGACUUGUCCAUCAAGUGUUCUGAGUAGUUGAUGCAGUGUUUUAAAAAACGUUUUUGGAGCGAGUCCCUGGGCGAGUCUCGGGGUGGGGUGUACCAAAAAUGCUCUAGAGCGUAAAUUAUAAACGUAGGCGUCGCCCUGAACAUAAAAACGUAAAGUUCUGGGCGUAAAA
rnacentral:misc_RNA from 1 species